CAGUGCUAAAGGCAAACUCAGUGAGAGCUGAGGACGCAAAGCCACGGGUCUUAGAUUCUUGAUAAGAUAGCCGGGUUACCAUA
rnacentral:ncRNA from 1 species